UUACUACUCCCUCCGAUCCAUAUUACUUGUCUUUGAUUUGUCUAGAUACGGAUGUAUGUCCGUAUCUAGACAAAUCAAAGACAAGUAAUAUGGAUCGGAGGGAGUACAGU
rfam:Hordeum vulgare subsp. vulgare, WGS project CAJW01000000 data, contig: morex_contig_48395